rnacentral:rRNA from 1 species
AACGAACGCUGGCGGCAGGCCUAAAACAUGCAAGUCGAACGAACCGUUUACGGCGAGCGGCGCACGGGUGAGUAACACGGGGGAAUAUACAUUUCGGUAAGGACUCACGUAGAGAAAUUUACGCGAAUACCUUAUCAAGACUACUGUCCAAAGAUUUAUCUCCGAAGGAUUAGCCCGCGUUGGAUUAGUUAGUUGGUGAGGUAAUGGCGCACCAAGCCUACGACCUAUAGCUGGUCUUAGAGGAAGAUCAGCCACACUGGGGGUGAGACACGGCCCAGACUCCUACGGGAGGGAGCAGUUAAGAAUAUUGCGCACGGGGGGAAAGCCUGGCGCAGCCCUGCCGGGAGAGUGAAGAAGGCCUGAGCGUAGUAAAUCUCUUUCAGAUGGAAAGAUAAUGACGGUACCAUAAGAAGAAGCUCCGGCUAAAUUCGUGCCAGCAGCCGCCGUAA